GGGGGUUUUGGCCCUCAGUUGUUUUCUUUGGAGUAAUAUGGCCCUCGCCACUUUACGAAUUGUGCAGGCCUGGAUUAGGGAAUUGC